GCUCUCACCUAAUGAAGGUGUAGCUGUAAGCCAACUUGAAUAUUCAAGGGCCAUUGGAUCCCUCAUGUAUGCCAUGAUUAGCACUAGACCGGAUAUAGCUUAUGCUGUUGGAAAACUUAGUAGGUAUACUAGCAAUCCAGGUGCAAGUCAUUGGCAAGCAAUGAAUCGCGUAUUUAGGUACUUGAAAGGAACCAUGAAAUAUGGUUUGACCUAUACUGGAUUUCCUUCGGUUUUAGAAGGUUAUUCGGAUGCAAGUUGGAUUAACAACAAGGAAGAUCAUUCUUCCGCGAGUGGAUGGACUUUUCUGCUUGGAUGAGGUGCCAUAUCUUAGGCAUCUAAGAAACAGACUUGCAUUACUGAUUCGACAAUGGAGUCUGAGUUUGUAGCAUUAGCGGCAGCUGGCAAAGAAGCUGAGUGGCUAAGAAACUUGAUUUAUGAGAUUCCAUUGUGGCCUAAACCUAUAUCACCAAUAUCUAUUAGAUGUGAUAGUGCUGCUACCUUGGCUAAGGCCUAUAGCCAAGUGUAUAAUGGGAAGUCUAGACACUUAGGUGUUAGACACAGCAUGAUUCGUGAGCUCAUCACGCAAGGGGUGAUAUCAGUGGAAUUUGUGAGAACUCAACAGAAUUUAGCCGACCACUUAACCAAAGAGUUAUGUAGAGAUCUUGUGCACAAGGCGGCUGUAGGGAUGGGAUUAAAGUCCACCUGAGAUUUCUCGUGUUAAGAUACCCAAUUCCCACCUAAUAUGACGUUAGGUGCUGAAUUCAAAAUGGAAAGCGUAACAUCUAGAAAUUGAAACACAUUAGUAGCAUCAUCCCAAGGUGCAAGAAUAAAGAGCUACCUAUAUGAGCAUGAAGUUUAGCCGCUUCAAGAAGCUAAGACUUGGCUUUGAUAUGUUCAUUGAAGGAUGGGACACAGGCUAGUAAAAAUAGUGUCAAGAAAGAACAUUAGAGUAUGUAAACGUGUGUGUAUAUUAUCUUCAUGUAUUCACUGAAUAGAAAGGGUUCAAUCCUUAGCGACACCCCUAUAUUCAAAUAUUUGGAAUGUGUAAUAUACUAAUGUGAAAUUCAAUCGUCGCGAUAUUUCAUUUAUGCAUAAGUUUGAUUAUUGUGAA